UACAGAGGUGGCAAGCGUUGUUCGGAAUUACUGGGCGUAAAGGGCGCGUAGGCGGCUCGCUAAGUCAGACGUGAAAUCCCCCGGCUUAACCUGGGAACUGCGUCUGAUACUGGCAAGCUUGAGUGCGGGAGAGGGAUGUGGAAUUCCAGGUGUAGCGGUGAAAUGCGUAGAUAUCUGGAGGAACACCGGUGGCGAAGGCGGCAUCCUGGACCGACACUGACGCUGAGGCGCGAAAGCUAGGGGAGCAAACGGG
rnacentral:rRNA from 1 species